GACGAACGCUGGCGGCAUGCCUAACACAUGCAAGUCGAACGGAGAUUAUUUCGGUAAUCUUAGUGGCGAACGGGUGAGUAACGCGUGGGCAACCUGCCCUCUAGAUGGGGACAACAUCCCGAAAGGGGUGCUAAUACCGAAUGUGACAGCAAUCUCGCAUGAGGAUGCUGUGAAAGAUGGCCUCUAUUUAUAAGCUAUCGCUAGAGGAUGGGCCUGCGUCUGAUUAGCUAGUUGGUGGGGUAACGGCCUACCAAGGCGAUGAUCAGUAGCCGGUCUGAGAGGAUGAACGGCCACAUUGGGACUGAGACACGGCCCAGACUCCUACGGGAGGCAGCAGUGGGGAAUCUUCCGCAAUGGGCGAAAGCCUGACGGAGCAAUGCCGCGUGAGUGAUGAAGGAAUUCGUUCCGUAAAGCUCUUUUGCUUAUGACGAAUGUGCAGAUUGUGAACAAUGAUCUGUAAUGACGGUAGUAAACGAAUAAGCCACGGCUAACUACGUG
rnacentral:rRNA from 1 species